AUGCGAUACGUAAUGUGAAUUGCAAAUUCAGUGAAUCAUCGAGUCUUUGAACGCACAUUGCGCCCCCUGGUAUUCCGGGGGGCAUGCCUGUCCGAGCGUCAUUACUGCCCUCAAGCCCGGCUUGUGUGUUGGGCCCCGUCCUCCGAUCCCGGGGGACGGGCCCGAAAGGCAGCGGCGGCACCGCGUCCGGUCCUCGAGCGUAUGGGGCUUUGUCACCCGCUCUGUAGGCCCGGCCGGCGCUUGCCGAUCAACCCCAAUUUUUAUAGGUUGACCUCGGAUCAGGUAGGGAUACCCGCUGAACUUAA
rnacentral:misc_RNA from 1 species